rnacentral:lncRNA from 1 species
AAGUAUUAUAGCCUUCUGUUGCCCUGUGCGUAUCACACACUGAAAAUAAAAGUGCUUUGGCUUUAUGAAGAGGUAAAGGUAUGAUGUUCAGUAUGAACAUGUGAUUGAAAUAUAAAGGAACCCCUUCAAACAAUCAAAUCCAAGCCCUGUCAUCAAGAAAAGAAUUCUGAUACUAAAAUAAAUAGGGUCAGGAAAACUCUUGAAUGUCUUCACUCCCCCUAAAUGCAAACACCUGUCAUUCAGCAUCAGUGCCCAGCUGGUAUUAGGUAUUAAAAAAAACAGUGUAUUUAUUGUAUACACCUGUAUUUUUUAGAAGAAAUCCAGAAAAAACUACCCCAAACUUGGUCAGAGCAGAGCCAAUCAAGUAGUUUGCUCCUUAUGAAUCUCUAAUGAGCUUUUGGGUGCUGGGCUGCUGCGAGUCUGAAUGGGCCUCUCAGUGCAGUGUGCUCAAGUCAAACUGCUACAGACACCAAGAUGGUCUCCAGCACAGGGAUGCCCAAACUGUGCUCAGCAGACCUAAGGCUAUGUGAGGAUGGUUGGCCUGAUGAACUAAUGUUCAUUUCCAUUUUUGAGGAAUGCGGCUGAUGAAAGUAAGAUAAAACUAAGAGCAAAAGAAAAGCUUAAGGAAGUCAAAAAAGCAUGCAUAUUUUUAUAACAAUUCUUCCGUGCAUUAGUGGCUGUACCAGCAACAGAGGUAUAAUGUGAUCUGCGUUGAAAAGGAACAGGACUUGACAUUGAGUGAGAAAAGAAGUCACAGUAUGAUCUCUGUGUGGUGGUGUUAUCAAAAGUACUGAACAAACAACAUGGUGAGCAGUGGGACUCGAGGUGGGACACCUUUCCUGCACAGGCUUUCUACUGCCUGGCACCCAUACUGCUCUCUCCGUAUGGACCUUUCCUCAGCUGAUUUGGACAUCUCUUGUAGUCAUUAAGUUGGAGAACAUAAAUAUUGUUGGUGUCUCAAUCUCUUGUUAUAUUCAGCUGAAGUUGAUCUAUGGUUACAAAUGUUAGAGCGAGAUGAGGUGAGCCAGCUUUCUUCAAGAAGCCAAGAUAAAAGGGGUAAGACUGUCAGCCAAAAAAAUAGGGAAAGUUAAACUUCACAUAUCUCUCUGAUGAAAAACAAGCACAAUAUAUCUUUCAGAAAGAAAAACAAAACAAUGGUGCUCUGUGUUGUUAAGCAUUUUACAGAUACUUGUAAGAGUUCUGGUCAAAGUUAUUCUAGAAUAUCACAUAUUCUCUUGCAGUAAUGUUGAUGCCAGUUCCAAUGAGUGUAUCCCAAAUGUGACAAUCUUGAAUCUUGGCCUUUUUUGUACAACCACAGUUCUGUCAGAGUAUCAGAGUGCUUUCUUUGUUUAAAAAAAAAAAAAAAAAAA